rnacentral:tRNA from 1 species
GGCUCGUUAGCUUAGUUGGUAGAGCACGAAACUCUUAAUUUCGGGGUCCUGAGUUCGAGCCUCAGACGAGUCACGA